rnacentral:rRNA from 1 species
UACGUAGGUGGCGAGCGUUGUCCGGAGUUACUGGGCGUAAAGGGCCUGUAGGCGGCCGGACGCGUGUGGUGUGACAGUGCAGGGCUUAACCCUGCAAGGGUGCCACAGACGGUCUGGCUGGAGAGCCUCAGAGGGACAUAGAAUUCCGGGUGGAGCGGUGAAAUGCGUAGAGAUCCGGAGGAAUACCAAAGGCGUAGGCAGUGUCCUGGGGGGCCUCUGACGCUGAGGGGCGAAAGCCAGGGGAGCGAACGGG